GGGAAAUGAGAGGGGCAUUUGGGACACAGAACAUUCCUUCCUCCUUUAGAGGAGAAAUGAGGGGAGAAAAGGGGAAGAAAGGAGGGUUGGGAAAGCGAACACAGGACUAGGAGAAAGGAGAGCAGGAGGAGCCAGCUAACCCCGCCCGUUUUGCAGAAAUGAAUAUGCUGGAACCCAUCUUAAGCAACAGAGAGCACCGAGGGGCUCAGGCUGGGCCGCUGGCAGCAUCUGCUGCAAAGCCCGACCUUAGUGAAUCCUCCCGCCCUCUGCAGCAGCCCUGGACUUUCCAGACCUCACCCUUCCACAGCACUGGGCUGACUCCCUACCCAGGUUGCGCCUGCCUCCACCCCCUCCUCUGACUCUGGCAGCCUUGGACGGCAGAAGGAGACACCCAUGAAAGCCACCGACUCAGCUGCCCUCUUCCUUCCUCCAAACCCAUGUUCUCACCUCCAGCAGCUGCUCAGCCUGGCAUCCAAGGGCAUCAUGACCUGGCUCUGCUUCCCCUCAGCCUUCCCCACUUGGCAUCCUCCACUCCAGCCACACCCACCAGCCUUUUCCUCUACUUAACCUGUUUCAUUAGAAUGCUUCAGCUCAUCCUUCUAAACGCUGGUUAAAACCACUUCCUCCAUGAAGCCUUCCCUACUUUCCCCAGUCCUAGGUGAAGCACACAAAGACUGGUACACAGAAGGCUUCACAUGAACGUUUGUUGAAUGAAGAUGAUAAAUGUCAACACGCUGAGCCAUGCAGGCGGAUGCAAGGUCCAGAACAGCAGGCUGUGGAAGCGAAUGAACCUGCUUGCAGCCUCUCCAUCUCCCCCAGAGAAAUGAAAAUCCAAAAUUACAUAAAAAAAU
ensembl:lncRNA